rnacentral:rRNA from 1 species
UACGUAGGGGGCAAGCGUUAUCCGGAUUUACUGGGUGUAAAGGGAGCGUAGACGGCAGAGCAAGUCUGAUGUGAAAGCCCGCGGCCCAACUGCGGGACUGCUUUGGAAACUGCCCGGCUAGAGUGCUGGAGAGGUAAGCGGAAUUCCUAGUGUAGCGGUGAAAUGCGUAGAUAUUAGGAGGAACACCAGUGGCGAAGGCGGCUUACUGGACAGUAACUGACGUUGAGGCUCGAAAGCGUGGGGAGCAAACAGG